rnacentral:rRNA from 1 species
CUGACUGACCGAUAGUGAACCAGUACCGUGAGGGAAAGGCGAAAAGAACCCCGGCGAGGGGAGUGAAAAAGAACCUGAAACCGUGUACGUACAAGCAGUGGGAGCACGCUUAGGCGUGUGACUGCGUACCUUUUGUAUAAUGGGUCAGCGACUUAUAUUCUGUAGCAAGGUUAACCGAAUAGGGGAGCCGAAGGGAAACCGAGUCUUAACUGGGCGUUAAGUUGCAGGGUAUAGACCCGAAACCCGGUGAUCUAGCCAUGGGCAGGUUGAAGGUUGGGUAACACUAACUGGAGGACCGAACCGACUAAUGUUGAAAAAUUAGCGGAUGACUUGUGGCUGGGGGUGAAAGGCCAAUCAAACCGGGAGAUAGCUGGUUCUCCCCGAAAGCUAUUUAGGUAGCGCCUCGUGAAUUCAUCUCCGGGGGUAGAGCACUGUUUCGGCAAGGGGGUCAUCCCGACUUACCAACCCGAUGCAAACUGCGAAUACCGGAGAAUGUUAUCACGGGAGACACACGGCGGGUGCUAACGUCCGUCGUGAAGAGGGAAACAACCCAGACCGCCAGCUAAGGUCCCAAAGUCAUGGUUAAGUGGGAAACGAUGUGGGAAGGCCCAGACAGCCAGGAUGUUGGCUUAGAAGCAGCCAUCAUUUAAAGAAAGCGUAAUAGCUCACUGGUCGAGUCGGCCUGCGCGGAAGAUGUAACGGGGCUAAACCAUGCACCGAAGCUGCGGCAGCGACGCUUAUGCGUUGUUGGGUAGGGGAGCGUUCUGUAAGCCUGUGAAGGUGUGCUGUGAGGUAUGCUGGAGGUAUCAGAAGUGCGAAUGCUGACAUAAGUAACGAUAAAGCGGGUGAAAAGCCCGCUCGCCGGAAGACCAAGGGUUCCUGUCCAACGUUAAUCGGGGCAGGGUGAGUCGACCCCUAAGGCGAGGCCGAAAGGCGUAGUCGAUGGGAAACAGGUUAAUAUUCCUGUACUUGGUGUUACUGCGAAGGGGGGACGGAGAAGGCUAUGUUGGCCGGGCGACGGUUGUCCCGGUUUAAGCGUGUAGGCUGGUUUUCCAGGCAAAUCCGGAAAAUCAAGGCCGAGGCGUGAUGACGAGGCACUACGGUGCUGAAGCAACAAAUGCCCUGCUUCCAGGAAAAGCCUCUAAGCAUCAGGUAACAUCAAAUCGUACCCCAAACCGACACAGGUGGUCAGGUAGAGAAUACCAAGGCGCUUGAGAGAACUCGGGUGAAGGAACUAGGCAAAAUGGUGCCGUAACUUCGGGAGAAGGCACGCUGAUACGUAGGUGAAGCGACUUGCUCGUGGAGCUGAAAUCAGUCGAAGAUACCAGCUGGCUGCAACUGUUUAUUAAAAACACAGCACUGUGCAAACACGAAAGUGGACGUAUACGGUGUGACGCCUGCCCGGUGCCGGAAGGUUAAUUGAUGGGGUUAGCGCAAGCGAAGCUCUUGAUCGAAGCCCCGGUAAACGGCGGCCGUAACUAUAACGGUCCUAAGGUAGCGAAAUUCCUUGUCGGGUAAGUUCCGACCUGCACGAAUGGCGUAAUGAUGGCCAGGCUGUCUCCACCCGAGACUCAGUGAAAUUGAACUCGCUGUGAAGAUGCAGUGUACCCGCGGCAAGACGGAAAGACCCCGUGAACCUUUACUAUAGCUUGACACUGAACAUUGAGCCUUGAUGUGUAGGAUAGGUGGGAGGCUUUGAAGUGUGGACGCCAGUCUGCAUGGAGCCGACCUUGAAAUACCACCCUUUAAUGUUUGAUGUUCUAACGUGGACCCGUGAUCCGGGUUGCGGACAGUGUCUGGUGGGUAGUUUGACUGGGGCGGUCUCCUCCUAAAGAGUAACGGAGGAGCACGAAGGUUGGCUAAUCCUGGUCGGACAUCAGGAGGUUAGUGCAAUGGCAUAAGCCAGCUUGACUGCGAGCGUGACGGCGCGAGCAGGUGCGAAAGCAGGUCAUAGUGAUCCGGUGGUUCUGAAUGGAAGGGCCAUCGCUCAACGGAUAAAAGGUACUCCGGGGAUAACAGGCUGAUACCGCCCAAGAGUUCAUAUCGACGGCGGUGUUUGGCACCUCGAUGUCGGCUCAUCACAUCCUGGGGCUGAAGUAGGUCCCAAGGGUAUGGCUGUUCGCCAUUUAAAGUGGUACGCGAGCUGGGUUUAGAACGUCGUGAGACAGUUCGGUCCCUAUCUGCCGUGGGCGCUGGAGAACUGAGGGGGGCUGCUCCUAGUACGAGAGGACCGGAGUGGACGCAUCACUGGUGUUCGGGUUGUCAUGCCAAUGGCACUGCCCGGUAGCUAAAUGCGGAAGAGAUAAGUGCUGAAAGCAUCUAAGCACGAAACUUGCCCCGAGAUGAGUUCUCCCUGACCCUUUAAGGGUCCUGAAGGAACGUUGAAGACGACGACGUUGAUAGGCCGGGUGUGUAAGCGCAGC